rnacentral:rRNA from 1 species
GAUGAACGCUGGCGGCGUGCCUAAUACAUGCAAGUCGAGCGAACAGACGAGGAGCUUGCUCCUCUGACGUUAGCGGCGGACGGGUGAGUAACACGUGGAUAACCUACCUAUAAGACUGGGAUAACUUCGGGAAACCGGAGCUAAUACCGGAUAAUAUAUUGAACCGCAGGGUUCAAUAGUGAAAAACGGUUUUGCUGUCACUUAUAGAGGGAUCCGCGCCGCAUUAGCUAGUUGGUAAGGUAACGGCUUACCAAGGCGACGAUGCGUAGCCGACCUGAGAGGGUGAUCGGCCACACUGGAACUGAGACACGGUCCAGACUCCUACGGGAGGCAGCAGUAGGGAAUCUUCCGCAAUGGGCGAAAGCCUGACGGAGCAACGCCGCGUGAGUGAUGAAGGUCUUCGGAUCGUAAAACUCUGUUAUUAGGGAAGAACAAAUGUGUAAGUAACUAUGCACGUCUUGACGGUACCUAAUCAGAAAGCCACGGCUAACUACGUG